AUGUCUUCCAUUUUGAGGAGACACAGUCACCUACCUACCUUUCUUCUUCCUUCCUUCCUUCCUUCCUUCCUUCCUUCCUUCCUUCCUUCCUUCCUUCCCUCCCUUCCUUCCUUCUUUUCUUCCUCCCUCUUACCCUCCCCCUCUUUCUUUCUUUCUUUCUUUCUUUCUUUCUUUCUUUCUUUCUUUCUUUCUUUCUUCUUUCUUUCUUUCUUUCUUUCUUUCUUUCUUUCUUUCUUUCUUUCAUCUUUCAACUGGUCUUUUUUUGUCUAUUGUUUUGUUUUGUUUCUUAUCCCAGCCUAGGCUCAAACUCAAGGUCUAUUUGAGAAUGACCUUGAACCUCUGGAUCUCCUGUAUGAGUAUUGGGAUUAUAGACUUGUAUCAGCACAUCAUUGUGUAUGGCACGCUAAGGAUGACUCUCAGGAUUUUUCUUCAUAAUAGACAAGCAGAUAAACAACUAAGAUCUAUCUCUCACUCUUCAUUUCCCUUUUCUGUGUUUGGAUCUGCCAUAUCAUCAGCAAUGAUUUUUGUCAUAGAGGCCCAAGAUGUCAUAGAGGGCUAA
rnacentral:lncRNA from 1 species